UGAGUAACCUGCCCUCAGCUCUGGGAUAACUCCGGGAAACCGGGGCUAAUACCGGAUACUCUCAGCCGACCGCAUGACCGGCUGAGGAAAGCUCCGGCGGUCUGGGAUGGGCCCGCGGCCUAUCAGCUUGUUGGUGGGGUAACGGCCUACCAAGGCGACGACGGGUAGCUGGUCUGAGAGGACGGCCAGCCACACUGGGACUGAGACACGGCCCAGACUCCGUACGGGAG
rnacentral:rRNA from 1 species